rnacentral:rRNA from 1 species
CCUACGGGGGACUGCAGUGAGGAAUAUUGGUCAAUGGACGCGAGUCUGAACCAGCCAAGUAGCGUGAAGGAUGAAUGCCCUAUGGGUUGUAAACUUCUUUUAUAAAGGAAUAAAACGAGGCACGUGUGCCUUUUUGCAUGUACUUUAUGAAUAAGGAUCGGCUAACUCCGUGCCAGCAGCCGCGGUAAUACGGAGGAUCCGAGCGUUAUCCGGAUUUAUUGGGUUUAAAGGGAGCGUAGGUGGGUUUUUAAGUCAGUUGUGAAAGUUUGCGGCUCAACCAUAAAAUUGCAAUUGAUACUGGCAGUCUUGAGUACAUUUGAGGUAGGCGGAAUUCGUGGUGUAGCGGUGAAAUGCUUAGAUAUCACGAAGAACCCCGAUUGCGAAGGCAGCUUACUAAGCUAUGACUGACAUUGAUGCUCGAAAGUGUGGGGAUCAAACAGGAUUAGAUACCCUGGUAGUC